AACGAACGCUGGCGGCAGGCCUAACACAUGCAAGUCGAACGCCGUAGCAAUACGGAGUGGCAGACGGGUGAGUAACACGUGGGAACGUACCCUUCGGUUCGGAAUAACUCAGGGAAACUUGAGCUAAUACCGGAUACGUCCGAGAGGAGAAAGAUUUAUCGCCGAGGGAUCGGCCCGCGUCUGAUUAGCUUGUUGGUGAGGUAACGGCUCACCAAGGCGACGAUCAGUAGCUGGUCNGAGAGGAUGAUCAGCCACAUUGGGACUGAGACACGGCCCAAACUCCUACGGGAGGCAGCAGUGGGGAAUAUUGGACAAUGGGCGCAAGCCUGAUCCAGCCAUGCCGCGUGAGUGAUGAAGGCCCUAGGGUUGUAAAGCUCUUUUACCCGGGAAGAUAAUGACUGUACCGGGAGAAUAA
rnacentral:rRNA from 1 species